AUCACAUUCAUAAGGUUUCUCUCCAGUGUGUGUUCUUUCAUGUCUUAGAUGUCUAGCUAAGCCGCAAGACCUCGAAAAUCUUUUGUUGAAACAUCACAUUCAUAAGGUUUCUCUCCAGUGUGUGUUCUUUUAUGGGUAACUAAGGUACUUGACCGUGAAAAUUGUUUGUUGCAAACAUCACAUUCAUAAGGUUUCUCUCCAGUGUGUGUUCUCUUAUGAACGGUUAAACUGGCCGACUGUGAAAAUCUUUUAUUGCAAACAUCACAUUCGUAAGGUUUGUCUUCACUGUGUGUUCGUUUGUGUGCCACCAAAUUUCCUUUCUUAGAAAAUAACUUGUUACAAACCUCGUAUUUCCUAGACAUGGUUUCAGCUUUUGAUCUUUUCCCCGUACGGUAAAAUAUCGGUAUAAAUAUCACCCAACCGUUCCCUCGAGUCUGCUUUUACCAAAUCUUUAUAAUGGUUCGGUUUUUACAGAAUUUCUGAUCAUAAAAAUGAGAAUAUUCACAGACACAGUUUGCAAUCAACACGAGUAUCAAAAUA